GAUGAAGAACGCAGCGAAAUGCGAUAAGUAAUGUGAAUUGCAGAAUUCAGUGAAUCAUCGAAUCUUUGAACGUACAUUGCGCCCGCCAGUAUUCUGGCGGGCAUGCCUGUUCGAGCGUCAUUUCAACCCUCAAGCCCAGCUUGGUGUUGGGGAUCGGCACAGGCGCCCUCGGGCGCCAGCCGUCCCCUAAAUCUAGUGGCGGUCCCGCUGCAGCCUCCUCUGCGUAGUAGUUUUCUCCUCGCAAGGGCAGCUCGGUGGCGACCUCGCCGUAAAACCCCCAACUUCUGAAAGGUUGACCUCGAAUCAGGUAGGAAUACCCGCUGAACUUAAGCAUAUCAAUAAGCGGAGGA
rnacentral:misc_RNA from 1 species